AUUGAACGCUGGCGGCAGGCCUAACACAUGCAAGUCGAACGAGUGGCGGACGGGUGAGUAAUGUCUGGGAAACUGCCCGAUGGAGGGGGAUAACUACUGGAAACGGUAGCUAAUACCGCAUACCAUCGGAUGUGCACAGAUGGGAUUAGCUAGUGGGUGGGGUAAAGGCUCACCUAGGCGACGAUCCCUAGCUGGUCUGAGAGGAUGACCAGCAACACUGGAACUGAGAAACGGUCCAGACGCCUACGGGAGGCAGCAGUGGGGAAGAUGGCACAAUGGGCGCAAGACUGAUGCAGCCAUGCCGCGUGGAUGAAGAAGGCCUUCGGGUUGGAAAGUACUUUCAGCGAGGAGGCGUUACUCGCAGAAGAAGCACCGGCUAACUCCGUGCCAGCAGCCGCGGUAAUAC
rnacentral:rRNA from 1 species